AAUAAGGACGGUAAUGAGAUAGUAUUUUUCAUACAUCAAUGGCAUUUUUUAUGAUACCAUCCAAUAUUGGUGAGGGUGAGAUAAAAUGAUGAGAUUAUUGUUUAGUACUUUCUUUCUGAAAGAUAAUCUGGCAUAUAUAUAUAUAAAGCCAUAAAAUAUCUAUACCAAUUGGCCUGAUAAAUUUACAUCUAGAACUUAUCUCUAAGGAAAUAACUGGAGAUACAAAGAAUUAUGUAAAAAAAGAUGCAUUGCAGUGCUGCUUAUGAUAAUAAAGAAGAGUUGAAACAAACUAAAUGUAUGAGAAGAGGAGAUGAGUUAAAUAGCCACGGGAUGGAAAAGUUAAAUUUAAAGACAAACAAAAAAUGCUGAAGACCAUUAGGGUCCAGAAGAGGCCACCAGAACUUCCCCCAGACCUUUGGGGAUUCAGGAUCACACCCUCCUUUGCCGUUAGGGAGAUUUCAGUGGAAAAGUUUUAAGAAGCCCUUCUCGGCAUGACGAUCUGCC
rnacentral:lncRNA from 10 species